rnacentral:misc_RNA from 1 species
GUUAGUCUUCUCAUCAUUGUUCUAAUUGCCCCUUCGGUCCUUUUAGUAGCAUUGUUAGCAUGUGAAAUAGCCAUCAUGUGUUAGAUUUUGUAUAAUUUCAGAAUCUUAUGGUAAAUAUUUUCAGUUUUUGACUGAUUUGUGCGUAUUGACAUAAUUUCGGAUUUUGGGUGAUGUUUAUUUUGGUUUGGAUCUGAACGCAUGCACCGAAUGCUUGGCAGGUGUUAGCGUCAUAGUUGAAAACUUCUGUAAAAUGAUGAAAUCUUUUCCUUGGGAUGCAUCUCUGUCACACUGUCAGUGGUGUGCUCUGCAAAUUUGGAAAAAUCUGAGAGUUGAUUUUUUCUUUUUUGUCCUUUUUCAUUUGUCGUGUAGCUAUAUAUUCCCAUAAUUUAGUGGUCAUUUGCAACCCACUAGUGCAUUCUUGUCUACCUCUUGUAAUUUUAUAUACCUACCACACACCAUGU